GGAGAAGGGGACGACCAAAGAAGGCAACAAGACAUCGCUCAAAGGAAGCUGGAUGAGGAGAAGCAAAUAUUUCCCGGAUUAAAAAUCCGUAGUUGAACAGUGUGAAGAUACAUGAGGUGGUUAUAUGCUUUAAGGUCAUAAGAACGCGAAUGAUAUGUGCGCCGCCCCGCUCCCCCACCCCAACCCCCCCUUCUUUUACUGUCUUUCAGUGCAUUGUCAUUCUUUAUGGUCCCAUUGUCUCAGACAAAAUAAAUAUGGUAUCCUGACCUGGAUGAGCAGUGCACUGCUGUAAUAGAAGUUGAAUAAAAAACAAUAAAUAGGUUUCGAUCUUUA
rnacentral:misc_RNA from 1 species